CCCUGGACUAGCUCAGUGGUAGAGCGGCUGCCUUAAAAGCAGCGCGUCAGAGGUUCGAUUCCUUUGCUAGGCACCA
rnacentral:tRNA from 1 species